UACGUAGGGUGCAGGCGUUGUCCGGAAUUAUUGGGCGUAAAGAGCUCGUAGGCGGUUUGUCGCGUCUGCUGUGAAAACCCGAGGCUCAACCUCGGGCCUGCAGUGGGUACGGGCAGACUAGAGUGCGGUAGGGGAGAUUGGAAUUCCUGGUGUAGCGGUGGAAUGCGCAGAUAUCAGGAGGAACACCAAUGGCGAAGGCAGAUCUCUGGGCCGUAACUGACGCUGAGGAGCGAAAGCAUGGGGAGCGAACAGG
rnacentral:rRNA from 1 species